rnacentral:rRNA from 1 species
GAUGAACGCUGGCGGCGUGCCUAAUACAUGCAAGUCGAGCGAAUGGAUUAAGAGCUUGCUCUUAUGAAGUUAGCGGCGGACGGGUGAGUAACACGUGGGUAACCUGCCCAUAAGACUGGGAUAACUCCGGGAAACCGGGGCUAAUACCGGAUAACAUUUUGAACCGCAUGGUUCGAAAUUGAAAGGCGGCUUCGGCUGUCACUUAUGGAUGGACCCGCGUCGCAUUAUCUAGUUGGUGAGGUAACGGCUACCCAAGGCAACGAUGCGUAGCCGACCUGAGAGGGUGAUCGGCCACACUGGGACUGAGACACGGCCCAGACUCCUACGGGAGGCAGCAGUAGGGAAUCUUCCGCAAUGGACGAAAGUCUGACGGAGCAACGCCGCGUGAGUGAUGAAGGCUUUCGGGUCGUAAAACUCUGUUGUUAGGGAAGAACAAGUGCUAGUUGAAUAAGCUGGCACCUUGACGGUACCUAACCAGAAAGCCACGGCUAACUACGUGCCAGCCGCCGCAGUAA